rnacentral:rRNA from 1 species
UACGUAGGGUGCAAGCGUUAAUCGGAAUUACUGGGCGUAAAGCGUGCGCAGGCGGUUUUGUAAGUCUGUCGUGAAAGCCCCGGGCUCAACCUGGGAAUUGCGAUGGAGACUGCAAGGCUUGAAUCUGGCAGAGGGGGGUAGAAGUUCCACGUGUAGCAGUGAAAUGCGUAGAGAUGUGGAGGAAUACCGAUGGCGAAGGCAGCCCCCUGGGAUAACACUGACGCUCAUGCACGAAAGCGUGGGGAGCAAACAGG